rnacentral:rRNA from 1 species
UACGUAGGCAGCGAGCGUUGUCCGGAAUUAUUGGGCGUAAAGGGCUCGUAGGCGGUCUGUCGCGUCGGGAGUGAAAACUCAGGGCUUAACCCUGAGCCUGCUUCCGAUACGGGCAGACUAGAGGUAUGCAGGGGAGAACGGAAUUCCUGGUGUAGCGGUGGAAUGCGCAGAUAUCAGGAGGAACACCGGUGGCGAAGGCGGUUCUCUGGGCAUUACCUGACGCUGAGGAGCGAAAGCCAGGGGAGCAAACGGG